rnacentral:rRNA from 1 species
AGUGAACGCUGGCGGUAGGCCUAACACAUGCAAGUCGAACGGCAGCACAGGAGAGCUUGCUCUCUAGGUGGCGAGUGGCGGACGGGUGAGGAAUACAUCGGAAUCUGCCCAGUCGUGGGGGAUAACGUAGGGAAACUUACGCUAAUACCGCAUACGACCUUCGGGUGAAAGAGGGGGAUCGCAAGACCUCUCGCGAUUGGAUGAGCCGAUGUCGGAUUAGCUAGUUAGCGGGGUAAUGGCCCACCAAGGCGACGAUCCGUAGCUGGUCUGAGAGGAUGAUCAGCCACACUGGAACUGAGACACGGUCCAGACUCCUACGGGAGGCAGCAGUGGGGAAUAUUGGACAAUGGGCGCAAGCCUGAUCCAGCCAUACCGCGUGGGUGAAGAAGGCCUUCGGGUUGUAAAGCCCUUUUGUUGGGAAAGAAAUCUUUCAGGCUAAUACCCUGGGAGGAUGACGGUACCCAAAGAAUAAGCACCGGCUAACUUCG